CCUGCUCUGGAGCUGCUGCGCGGGGCCGAACCCAAAGGCUGUUCUUCCAAAAAUUAAAAUUGAUUGGGAGCGCACCUCUUACCUAAUUUCCCUUUUAGAGAAGAAUCCGAAGUGUUGCGAUUUAACGUUUUUGGUCGGAAUGUCGCCGUGCUCUAGAGAGGGUUUAAACGCUCCCCAGCCGGCAGUCGUCUCAAAAACAGACCCCAGAGGAGUGGUGACAGACACUUCAUCCUCCAACAGUACAUGAAAGGAUCAGAAAGUAACUCUGCUAUUUAAACUCUUAACAAUUGAUGCAAAAAAUAACUGUGCAAGGAAAUAAAUCCAGUUUGGUAACAGGUAUUUAUGAGGGAGCACCAGUGCUGAGGUCUCUUUGCAUAAAACCAAUUUUUUAUUGGUAAAACAUGAGUCCAAGUCCACAUUCUUCUUCUGUAACUGCAUUUAUGUGCUCCUGGAUGUCUGUGGACAGCACAAUCCUUGAAUUUUUCACAAUAGAAAGGAGGCAUCAGUAUUGACUGAUAGAGGUUACACAUGUGAAUUGCUGUGUUGGUCACACAGCCCAGCAAAAGUGUAUUAAGUAACAGUUGGCAUGACUUAAUAUGUGCUUUGAGUGGAUCUGAACCUUGAAAAUGAGUAUCAGAGUUCAGAGAUUCACAUUUCACAUAAAUUUAAAGCUGAGCAGGUCCAUCCAGAGGUGUUUCCGCUGAGGAUGAUUCUGUCUGUGCAGAAAUCUGGGAGGCUCUGCCCAGCCUUCACCUUCCCUGUGUUAACUCAGCUACUGCAGUGCCCAGGGAACACCCAAGGUACAGUCACAGGGUUCUGUCAUUUUUGUUGCCAUUUAGAAGCUGCUUCUCAGUGUGGUGAAAGGAAACCCCAGGAAAUCGGUUCUCCUUUCCUUCUUUGUCGGGAAAGGUGUUCCCCCAAAAGCUGCAGGUGGAACAAGGGGAGCUGGAGAGGAGAAUGGUGUCAUCACCUGAGGGGAAACACAAAGCAGAAAGAAACGAGGAGGGGAAAUUUCGGUGCUUAUUUUUAGACU